UACGUAGGGUGCGAGCGUUAAUCGGAAUUACUGGGCGUAAAGCGUGCGCAGGCGGUUCGCCAAGUCAGGUGUGAAAUCCCCGGGCUUAACCUGGGAAUUGCGCUUGAAACUAGCGGGCUUGAGUGUGGCAGAGGGGGGUGGAAUUCCACGUGUAGCAGUGAAAUGCGUAGAGAUGUGGAGGAACACCGAUGGCGAAGGCAGCCCCCUGGGUCAACACUGACGCUCAUGCACGAAGGCGUGGGGAGCAAACAGG
rnacentral:rRNA from 1 species